UACGGGGGGGGCAAGCGUUGUUCGGAAUUACUGGGCGUAAAGGGUUUGUAGGUGGCUUGUUAAGUCAGACGUGAAAUCCCUCAGCUUAACUGGGGAACUGCGUCUGAUACUGGCGAGCUUGAGUGCAGGAGAGGAACGCGGAAUUCCAGGUGUAGCGGUGAAAUGCGUAGAUAUCUGGAGGAACACCGGUGGCGAAGGCGGGUCUCUGGGCCGACAUUGACGCUGAGGAGCGAAAGCGUGGGGAGCGAACAGG
rnacentral:rRNA from 1 species